UCAGUUGACUGGCCAGUGAACUCCAAGGACCCAGCUGUCUCCACAUUCCCAACCCUGGGAUUACAAACAAAUACUUCUGUGCUUGGUUUUUCCGUGGGUGGUGGGGAAGCAAACUCAGGUUGCCAUGACUGCAAAGCAAGCACUGUACCAUUAUUAUUACUGAGACAAGGAUUCGCCUGGGCGCAACUCUGUCCCACCCAGUGCGAUUUCCAUGACUCCCAUGAUGUGAGCAGCUGACUCAGUUCUUGUGCCUCCCCCACUCUGUCUCCAUCAUGCUCUGCAGGUGGCUCUGUGACCUUGGUGCCACUCACCACUACGAAGUUCAGAACAUGACCUUUACACUCUUUCAUGCACCUCCAUAGUCCCACUGCUUCCCCGACGGCCCCAGCUGGUACAGGGCCCUCUCCUACCUGUUCAAAGUCCCUCUCUGCUUUCAGACAACUGUCACUCGUCACCCCUUCCAGGAGCAUCCUGCUUCGGUGUUGCUGUGUCUAACCCACACUCGCAAGCCACACACUCGCAAGCCACACACUAGCAUGCUGUGCUCAUACAACUGAGCCGCUCCAGCUUUUCAGGCCAGUUCCUUUGGGUGCACAGAUUGAUGCUGGAAGACCACAGUGAAGACCUGGAAGUGUUACCGGACGGGGAGACACUUGCUGAGACAGGACUGCCAAUAGUGUAAGGAUGGACUGGACUACAAGGUGAAUUCCAGACCAGCUUGAGCUAUCGUAUCCUGUUUCAAAUACCACUAUCUCAACUGAUUAUUCCUGUUGUCCACAUACCACCGAAACACACAGUACAAGUAUCUGAAAGAGCCAUAGCAUUGCACUCAAUGAGCUAUCUUUGAUAUUGUCAGAACAAGGCAAACAACUGUAGCUGAGAACAUCGGUGAGGACUUUUAUAUUAUUUAUCUUGUGUGCAUACACAGAUGUGGAGGGCUGAGGAGAGCUUGUGAGAAUUGCUUGUCCUUCCAUCAUGUGGGUUCUGGGGAUCAAUUUCAGGCCUGGUGGCGAGUGCCUUUACUAGCUGAGCCCUCUCAGUAGGCCACAUCUAAAGUCUUUUUCCCACCUCUGCAAAUCUGGGGACCACCAAGGAGAACUUAGUGCAGGAGUUCAACAGCAAAGAGCUGUUUCACACACAGCUGUACUUCAACAGGGCACGGGAAGACAGAUGAACAAGGACAUCUUCCCCGAUGUCUGACAGGAAAUUAACCUAGGACGCCAUUGCUCCACUCAAGCAAACGUUCACAAUCCAUAGAAUUGGGACAUUUUUGUUGUUGAGAUGAAAAUCUCACUAUGUAGACCAGGCUGCCUCACAUUCCAUGUCUCCUAACAUUUGCAAGAAUCCUCUUCAAUCAGCCUCUCCAGGGCCAUAAUUACAGGCAUGAGUCACCACUUCUGGUUACUGGGACCUCUUUACUAAAAGGUGUAGGCAAAGUGGUCAUCUGCCAGUGUUUGUCAAGAAAGCAAAUCCCCAGACUAUGAUUGGACAAGGAGGCCCUGGAGUAGGAUGGCAUAUUCUCGUGGAAUCCCAGACAGAAAACCUUGUCUGGAUUGAAAAAAGUCCAUCCAAGUACAAUCUGCUUUCUGGACACAGCAGGGACUGUGCUGCUCUCUCUGAAUGCAUUCCUGAGCUGCCCCUGCUGCACUAGCCAGCCUCUAGCCCUUCGUACGAGUGAGACGGCGACGACGACGACGACGACGACGACGACGACGACGACGACGGGACGGGAAGCAAAGACAGUCUAUUUAUCGGCACCCUAAAUUCUAACCCCAGGAGGAAGUUAAGAGCAUCAACAGUCUGAGUAGUGUCACCUCCCUUCGUGUCCCCGCCCUCAUCACUGUGACCGGAUGAAGUGGUCCUGAUGAUGUUUUUCACCACACGAAGGGCCAUCUACACAAACCUUCCCCGACAGUUCAAAAAGGCACUGGCGAUCCCACUGACCCAUGCCCUCCUUGCUGAUAUGAGGUUCCUGUCCUCAGUACUUCUGGGUCUCUCUCCCCAAUUCCCUACACACACAUACACUUUAACCUCAAACACUGAUACAAAGAUUCCUUUAGGAGCAAACACACCUAUGAAUAAAAGUCCUUUAUGCUAGGAAAGUAUUACCCUCUAAAAUGGGGCUAUAUUUACAAAUUUUAUUUUUUUUACAUCUCAAAAAUACAUAUAAAUGAAAACCUGCUCUCCAAAUGCAGACAGGCCUUUGCCUAUCAUGUGGUAUUAUUUCUAUCACAAAACAGUGUCAUAUGAAGAUCAGCACAUAGCUCUGAAACACACCAUUUACAAGCACACACUGUAAGUAAUGACUUCCUACUUACACAGACAGAGCCCAGAUGGGAAGUUCAUUCAGAAGCUGGGCUGCCCCUAGCUUUCCACCCUUGGGAAGUAAAUACAAACACAUGGUCAAAGAUGAAACAGAAACGUAGAAGCUACAAACCUCCUUUAGACACAUACACAGGACCUUAGGCCACAGCAAGGCCCCUGCUACAAAGUCAACGUCAGUGUGUUUCUCAAAGGGAGAAAAGAGAGGUAACAUCUGAAUAAAAAUGCAAAGCUGAAGAAAAAGACCAGGUGAUCAAAACUGCCAUGUCCGUGUUUCAUGGGGAAUCAGGAGUCCUCACAGGACGCAGCUGCACAACCAAGUGCAUGUGACACCAGCACCCACUGGUAGAAGCCAUGACCUCCCUACACAGUCAUGUCUACACAGGCGUUGUAGAGUGUCUGUUUAGCUUAGACAGUCAAUAAUGAGGUCAUGUGGUAAAUUGUCACCCCCCCAAAACGAAGUGCAAAAUCAGCUUCUAUGACUCAAGAGCUGACCCGGGUCAAAGCUUUGGUAUAUGCUGGAGGUUGUUUUGGUGACACCCAAAGCUUACUGAGAUUCUCUGCUCCAGGGUUUGUCCCCAAAACAAAAACUCCUGGUCCACAAAGCUCAACGACGAUAUAAAUAAGAAACUGUACA